AUUGAACGCUGGCGGCAUGCCUUACACAUGCAAGUCGAACGGUAACGGGCCUUCGGGUGCCGACGAGUGGCGAACGGGUGAGUAAUACAUCGGAACGUGCCCGAUCGUGGGGGAUAACGAGGCGAAAGCUUUGCUAAUACCGCAUAUGAUCUACGGAUGAAAGCAGGGGACCGCAAGGCCUUGCGCGGACGGAGCGGCCGAUGGCAGAUUAGGUAGUUGGUGGGAUAAAAGCUUACCAAGCCGACGAUCUGUAGCUGGUCUGAGAGGAUGAUCAGCCACACUGGGACUGAGACACGGCCCAGACUCCUACGGGAGGCAGCAGUGGGGAAUUUUGGACAAUGGGCGCAAGCCUGAUCCAGCCAUGCCGCGUGCAGGAUGAAGGCCUUCGGGUUGUAAACUGCUUUUGUACGGAACGAAAAGCCUUCUUUUAAUACGGGAGGGUCAUGACGGUACCGUAAGAAUAAGCACCGGCUAACUACGUG
rnacentral:rRNA from 1 species